CCUCCGGGGGUAGUAUGCACGCAAGUGUGAAACUUGAAGGAAUUGACGGAAGGGCACCACAAGAACGCGUGGAGCAUGUGGCUUAAUUUGACUCAACGCGGGAAAUCUUACCGGGUCCGGACACACUGAGGAUUGACAGGCAAUAUUAAAAAAAUAUUAAAAUUUAUUUUUUUAUUUUUUUAUGUUAAAUAUGCUAGUCCUUUCAUGAUUAUGUGAUAGGUGGUGCAUGGCCGUUCUUAGUUCGUGGAGUGAUCUGUCUGCUUAAUUGCGUUUCACUAAGGGCCUAUAAAUUACGUGUGUUGCGGCACUUUGACCCCUAAUUUUAAUUAAUUAGCGCGCGUCUUAGUUUGCUUAGCUCACACAAUUAGGUCCUGAAAGCAACGAACGUGACCGCAACCUCUUGUUGCCUUUAUACCAAAACCCAAAAAAUAAAAUUUAUUUUUCGGAAUAUUUUUUUUUUUUUUGGGAUAAAAAGGCUUUUUAAACUAGAGGGACCGCUGUUACUUUCUUAAACCAGAGGAAGGUUGCGGCAAUAACAGGUCUGUGAUGCCCUUAGAUGUUCCGGGCUGCACACGUGCUACAAUGAUUAUUGCAGUGAGCAUCUCAUUUUUUACACACCGCAUGCGCGAGUCGCAUUUAUUGCCUUCGGGUUUUUAAAUGUGUUUACUCUGCGCGCGGUAAAGCCUGCUUCGAAAGUUCGUGGGUAAUCAAUUAGAAGUAAUGAUUUCCGUUUUUUAGCACACAUAUAUACGGCGUUUAUGCCCGGGUUAGGCUUAGUCCUAACUUUUGUGCGUAUAAAUGUUUUUUCCGUAUGUGCGAUUCUCAAUUCAUGGUGGGGACAGACCAUUGUUAAUUGUUGGUCUCGGUCUUAACUAGGAAUGCCUUGUACGGGUCUUUGGUUCAACAAACCACCCGGAAUACGUCCCUGCCCUUUGUACACACCGCCCGUCGCUCUUACCGAUGGACUUCUCUGUGAGUUUGAGGGACUGGGAACGCAUAAAAAAAAAUUUAUUUCUUUUUAUGCACACCUAUGGAAACUUAAACGAACAGUGUGGUCUAAAGGAAAGAGAAGUCGUAACAAGGCAUCGGUAGGUGAACCUGCCGAUGGAUCA
rnacentral:rRNA from 1 species